rnacentral:rRNA from 1 species
AUUGAACGCUGGCGGCAUGCUUUACACAUGCAAGUCGAACGGUAACAGGCUAAGCUGACGAGUGGCGAACGGGUGAGUAAUGCAUCGGAACGUGCCCGGUCGUGGGGGAUAACGCAGCGAAAGCUGCGCUAAUACCGCAGACGAUCUGAGGAUGAAAGCGGGGGACCGUAAGGCCUCGCGCGAUCGGAGCGGCCGAUGUCAGAUUAGGUAGUUGGUGGGGUAAAGGCUCACCAAGCCGACGAUCUGUAGCUGGUCUGAGAGGACGACCAGCCACACUGGGACUGAGACACGGCCCAGACUCCUACGGGAGGCAGCAGUGGGGAAUUUUGGACAAUGGGCGCAAGCCUGAUCCAGCAAUGCCGCGUGCAGGAAGAAGGCCUUCGGGUUGUAAACUGCUUUUGUACGGAGCGAAAAGGCUCUCUCUAAUACAGGGGGCUCAUGACGGUACCGUAAGAAUAAGCACCGGCUAACUACGUGCCAGCCGCCGCGGUAA